ACGCAAUAGAUACCCAGGUAGUCCACGCAGUAAACGAUGCAUACUAGGUGUGGGGGGGUAUCGAGCCCCUCCCGUGCCGCAGCUAACGCAAUAAGUAUGCCGCCUGGGGAGUACGGCCGCAAGGUUAAAACUCAAAGGAAUUGACGGGGGCCCGGCACAAGCAGCGGAGCGUGUGGUUUAAUUCGAUGCAACGCGAAGAACCUUACCUAGGCUUGACAUGACGGUGUAAGCCGGGGAAACCCGGGCCCCUCUUCGGAGCACCGCCACAGAUGUUGCAUGGCUGUCGUCAGCUCGUGUCGUGAGAUGUUGGGUUAAGUCCCGCAACGAGCGCAACCCUCGUGGUCUGUUGCAGUUUUCAGACCAGACUGCCUACAAAACUAGGAGGAAGGUGGGGAUGACGUCAAGUCCGCAUGGCUCUUACGUCUAGGGCUACACACACGGCUACAAUGGCCGGGUACAAUGCGCAGCCACAGGGCAACCUGGAGCGAAUCGCCAAACCCGGGUCUCAGUUCGGAUGGUAGGCUGCAACUCGCCUG
rnacentral:rRNA from 1 species